rnacentral:rRNA from 1 species
UGCCAGCCGCCGCGGUAAUACGGAGGGGGCUAGCGUUGUUCGGAAUCACUGGGCGUAAAGCGGCUCGCAGGUGGCUUUGUAAGUCAGAUGGUGAAAGCCCACGGCUCAACCGUGGAAUUGCAUUUUGAUACUGCAUCGCUAGAGUAUAGGAGAGGGAAGUGGAAUUUCUGGUGUAGGAGUGAAAUCCGUAGAGAUCAGAAGGAACACCGGUGGCGAAGGCGACUUCCUGGACUAUUACUGACACUGAGGAGCGAAAGCGUGGGGAGCAAACAGGAUUAGAUA